UACGUAGGGGGCAAGCGUUGUCCGGAAUCAUUGGGCGUAAAGCGCGUGUAGGCGGCCAGAUAAGUCCGCUGUGAAAUCUCGAGGCUCAACUUCGAGCUGUCGGUGGAAACUGUCUGGCUAGAGUCCGGAAGAGGAGAAUGGAAUUCCUGGUGUAGCGGUGAAAUGCGCAGAUAUCAGGAGGAACACCGGUGGCGAAGGCGGCAUCCUGGGCCGGUAUUGACGCUGAGGAGCGAAAGCCAGGGGAGCAAACGGG
rnacentral:rRNA from 1 species